UUGCCGACGACAUGCGCCACCCCAGCGGUU
rnacentral:sRNA from 1 species